UGAGUACGAGAUGCUACGGCAUCGAAGCAGUCUAUGUCAUACUUCCAAGAAAAGCUUGCAAUGUCAUAAACAAAUAAUGCCUGUACCAUAACCGACACAGGUGGGUAGGUAGAGCAUACUAAGGGGCGCGAGAUAACUCUCUCUAAGGAACUCGGCAAAAUGACUCCGUAACUUCGGGAGAAGGAGUGCCUUAUUUUUAUAAGGUUGCAAUAACAAGAUCCAAGCAACUGUUUACCAAAAACACAGGCUCCGCUAAGUCGUAAGACGAUGUAUGGGGGCUGACGCCUGCCCAGUGCCAGAAGGUUAAAGAAGUUGGUUAGCAUUAGCGAAGCUGAUAACUGAAGCCCUGGUGAACGGCGGCCGUAACAAUAACGGUCCUAAGGUAGCGAAAUUCCUUGUCGGGUAAGUUCCGACCCGCACGAAAGGCGUAAUGAUUUGGAUACUGUCUCGGAGAGGGGCUCGGUGAAAUAGACUUGUCUGUGAAGAUGCGGACUACCUGCACCUGGACAGAAAGACCCUAUGAAGCUUUACUGUAACUUGAGAUUGAAAUUGGACUUUAUCUGCGCAGUAUAGGUGGGAGACGUUGAAAAUAUUCUUGCGGGAAUAUUGGAGUCAUCAGUGAGAUACCACUCUUAUAAUGUUAGAUUUCUAACUUUGUAUCAUUAUCUGGUCAAAGAACAGUUUCAGGCGGGCAGUUUGACUGGGGCGGUCGCCUCCCAAACGGUAACGGAGGCGCACAAAGGUUUCCUCUGAACGUGUAGAAAUCGUAUCUAGAGUGUAAAGGCAUAAGGAAGCUUGACUGUGAGACCUACAAGUCGAGCAGGGACGAAAGUCGGUCUUAGUGAUCUGACGGUGCUGAGUGGAAAGGCCGUCACUCAACGGAUAAAAGUUACUCUAAGGAUAACAGGCUGAUCUCCCCCAAGAGUUCACAUCGACGGGGAGGUUUGGCACCUCGAUGUCGGCUCAUCGCAUCCUGGGGCGGUAGUACGUCCCAAGGGUUGGGCUGUUCGCCCAUGAAAGCGGUACGCGAGCUGGGUUCAGAACGUCGUGAGACAGUUCGGUCCAUAUCCGGUGUAGGCGUUAGAAUAUUGAGAGGAGCCUUCUUUAGUACGAGAGGACCGAGAAGGACAUACCUCUGGUGUACCAGUUAUCGUGCCAACGGUAAACGCUGGGUAGCCAUGUAUGGAGAGGAUAACCGCUGAAAGCAUCUAAGUGGGAAGCCCACCUCAAGAUAAGUAUUCUCAUC
rnacentral:rRNA from 1 species